AUCACUUCCUGGUCUUUUGGCUAAGAUCAAGUGUAGUAUCUGUUCUUAUCUGUUUAAUAUCUGAUACGUCUUCUAUCUGAGGACAAUGUACCCUAUGGAUUUUUGGAGCAGGGAGUUGGAAUAAGAGCUUGCUCUGUCCACUCCAUGCAUCGAACUAGUAUUGCAGUACCUCCAGCAACAGUGCAACAAAA
rnacentral:snRNA from 1 species